CUCUCUCUCUCUCUCUCUCUCGCUCUGUGUUUCGGCUUCCUCCAUCUGCUCUUGGAUUGGGUUUCAGGUUGUGUGAGUCCAAAUUCGAUCAUGUUGUAAUCUUCUUCCUGCUUUGGCCUGCAACAUAUGGUUUCCUUUUAUAUGUGAAGCUCUCUUUUUAGACCGACUCCCUUCUGACUGAGCAAAACGGAAGAUGGAUAUGAUUCAACAGAACCAAAUUUCUCGUCUUCUUCUCCGUUCUCGUCGUCUAUGACGACGUUUCGGGUAGCAUGACUGUUGGAGUUCAUGUAGAUGGAUAUCGAGGUUUUUAGCUGUGGUGCUCGAUCGCUGUUGCAGAUCCUGCUUACUUCUUUCUUCUGUUCUUUUCUUGGGUUCAUUUUGAUCCAAAUCUAGAUGCCGUUCGGACAUUGCUGUCCUCUCCACACACUCACAAACCUCUCUCUCUCCUCCUACAAUGCCUUCUUUGUUGGGUCUGCCACCCUGCUCAUUGUCUCUUUCAUCCGUGCUUUCUUCUAAAAAUCUUUGGUGGUUUAUCACAGUCGAUGUUUGCGGGUGUAGCAUCAUCAAGAUUCACAUGAGUCGAGCGGCCGCGUUACGAUUGCAAGUGAGAAUCUUGAUGAUGCUGCAUCGGCGAUAAGCGACUAAUGGCAAGCAAAAUGCCGAGGCUGGAUGCUGCGAUCCACUCGUUGGAGUACGGUAACACGACAGGCCAUGAAUUAUUUUGCUUUUUCUUUACUGCCAGUUUUGGUCUUAAUGUACUGUUCUAAGAUCUUCAUUAUCUUUUCCGACAAUGAUGGGUUAGUAUGCAAAAAAAAAACAAAUUGCCUGAGAUUGAUCUCGAGGUCAUGUUCAGGUUUUCUUUUGCUUCACUUUUACAUGCAAGCAUUGCUACAUAUUAGUCCUCACAGAUGUUAAUUUUCAGCCUUACAGUCUGGAAGAGAUGGCAGGACAUAUUGCAGUAAGCAUACGAUCAAAAACCUUUUUGUUGUAUGGCUUUUCUUUUGACAUCCAACAACAUAUUCUCUAACACCUCACCACAUAAUUUACAAAUAAACUUUAUGCGGAAAUAAAUUGUCUUCAGAUCAAUCAAGAAAUUUGGAUUCGCAUCGGAUAAGUUUGCAGCAAUUUCACUAACAUGAAGAUUUUAGUUGUUAUUUGGUAUGUUUGGUGUGGUUGUAAGAACUUAAAGAGUAUAAAGCUUUUGAGUUUCUUUGUAAGACCAAAUUCUACUGAUUUCAUGGAGUAAGACUUACUGUUCAAGUUUUUGUUCUUAGAAAUCUAAAAGAGUUUGUCUGAUCUUGUUUUACACUGCUUUCAUGCUCCUUGUGAUAUCUCCAGUAGUUCCAUGUCAUAGUAUUAAGAUGAUUUUUGAGUCGAUACCGAACAGCGUUUCUUGAGGUAUGACAUCCCACUGCUCUUAAAUAUGAGUCAAAAACAUACAUAGUGAUAUCCUUUUUUUGGAGCAAAAUCUAUGUUAUCCAUCAAAUUUCUUGACCUGCCAUUCAUAAGAUGUGUUGAUCACAUCGUUAAAUUCAGAUAGGUUACAAGCAUCUUAAACUCCUUUAAUAAGCUUGAUUUAGAUAUAACACUUGUCGUAUCUCUUCUCUCUAAAAACAAGCGAUGCAAGCAUAGAAUUUUUGUCAGCAAACCGCCAUUGGAGAUGCCUGAAUUGUAGUGAGUACAACUUUAAAGGCACAGACUGAUGUUUAAAACCAUUAUCAUGCAGGUGGACCUGCUUUUGGAUACAUCUUGCAAGUGGUUAGCUUCAGUGAGGACAGUUCACAGAGACAUCAUUCACUGAAAUGUCUGCAAAUUGACCCCUUUCCUGAUCACUUAUCAGAAAUGUACCAGGCUCUCACAUGCUAAUUAGUAGAUCAGCAUCUAUACGACACCCAUCCCAUAAGGUACACCUGCAAUACACAGGUACAAGCACCUCUGAAACAGUAGGUGUUCUUGCAUCUCAUAGCAAAUAGCAAUAGGAACAAUGGCUUGGCAUGGCUUUCCUCAUGUUUCCAUAAAUGUUGUGUUGAGAAAAAGAUAUCGAUACAGUCGUCUGAAUUAAUGUGCAUAAAUAAAUAUGAUUCCAAGUACAGAAUCUGUAGAUUAUGUGCUGAACUUUUCUGGAUUAUGUACAUGGGUUGUUGUUAUGAUUAUAAUCUGUUGAUGAACAUGAAUGUGAGGAUCA